rnacentral:rRNA from 1 species
GUGGGGAAUCUUCCGCAAUGGACGAAAGUCUGACGGAGCAACGCCGCGUGAACGAUGACGGCCUUCGGGUUGUAAAGUUCUGUUAUACGGGACGAAUGGUACGACGGUCAAUACCCGUCGUAAGUGACGGUACCGUAAGAGAAAGCCACGGCUAACUACGUGCCAGCAGCCGCGGUAAUACGUAGGUGGCAAGCGUUGUCCGGAAUUAUUGGGCGUAAAGGGCGCGCAGGCGGCGUCGUAAGUCGGUCUUAAAAGUGCGGGGCUUAACCCCGUGAGGGGACCGAAACUGCGAUGCUAGAGUAUCGGAGAGGAAAGCGGAAUUCCUAGUGUAGCGGUGAAAUGCGUAGAUAUUAGGAGGAACACCAGUGGCGAAGGCGACUUUCUGGACUGUAACUGACGCUGAGGCUCGAAAGCCAGGGGAGCGAACGGGAUUAGAUACCCCAGUAGUCC